GAGUUUGAUCGUGGCUCAGAUUGAACGCUGGCGGCAUGCCUUACACAUGCAAGUCGAACGGCAGCAUGAUCUAGCUUGCUAGAUUGAUGGCGAGUGGCGAACGGGUGAGUAAUACAUCGGAACGUGCCCUGUAGUGGGGGAUAACUAGUCGAGAGAUUAGCUAAUACCGCAUACGACCUGAGGGUGAAAGUGGGGGACCGCAAGGCCUCAUGCUAUAGGAGCGGCCGAUGUCUGAUUAGCUAGUUGGUGGGGUAAAGGCCCACCAAGGCGACGAUCAGUAGCUGGUCUGAGAGGACGAUCAGCCACACUGGGACUGAGACACGGCCCAGACUCCUACGGGAGGCAGCAGUGGGGAAUUUUGGACAAUGGGCGAAAGCCUGAUCCAGCAAUGCCGCGUGUGUGAAG
rnacentral:rRNA from 1 species